rnacentral:rRNA from 1 species
AGAAUGAACGCUGGCGGCGUGCCUAACACAUGCAAGUUGCACGAGAAAGGGGGCCUUCGGGUCCUCAGUAAAGUGGCGAACGGGUGAGUAACGCGUAGGUAACCUGUCCUCGAGUGGGGAAUAACCUGGCGAAAGCCGGGCUAAUACCGCAUGAUGUCCUUCGGUCUUCGGAUCGGUGGACCAAAGGUGGCGAGCUUCGAGCGCUGUCACUCGAGAAGGGGCCUGCGUCCCAUUAGCUAGUUGGUGGGUUAACGGCCUACCAAGGCUACGAUGGGUAGCCGGGCUGAGAGGCUGUCCGGCCACACUGGAACUGAGACACGGUCCAGACUCCUACGGGAGGCAGCAGUGGGGAAUCUCGCGCAAGUGGGGGCAACCCGUGACGCAGCGACGCCGCGUGGGCGAUGAAGGCCUUCGGUCGUAAAGCCCUGUCGAGCGGACGAAACGUCGACGAGCUCUAACAUAGCUCGUGCCGUGACGGUACCGCGUA